AAAUUGUUGAAAGGGAAGCGCUUGUGACCAGACUUGCGCCGGGCAGCUCAUCAGGGGUUCUCCCCUGUGCACUCUGCCCGGCUCAGGCCAGCAUCGGUUCUUGUGGGAGGAUAAGAACGGUAGGAACGUGGCCCCCUUUCGGGGGGGUGUUAUAGCCUACCGUACGAUACUCCCGUGGGGACCGAGGUUCGCGCUCCGCAAGGAUGCUGGCGUAAUGGUCAUCAGCGACCCGUCUUGAAACACGGACCAAGGAGUCGUCCAUUAGAGCGAGCGUUUGGGUGUAAAACCCGCACGCGUAAUGAAAGUGAACGCAGGUGAGAGCUUCGGCGCAUCAUCGACCGAUCCUGAUGUCUUCGGAUGGAUUUGAGUAAGAGUUUUAACGGACGGACCCGAAAGACAGUGAACUAUGCUUGUAUAGGGUGAAGCCAGAGGAAACUCUGGUGGAGGCUCGCAGCGGAUUGACCAGCAAAUCGUU
rnacentral:rRNA from 1 species